UGUGUAGGCGGUUGCUUAAGUUUGGUGUGAAAUCUCCCGGCUCAACUGGGAGGGUGCGCCGAAUACUGAGUGACUCGAGUGCGGGAGAGGAAAGUGGAAUUCCAGGUGUAGCGGUGAAAUGCGUAGAUAUCUGGAGGAACACCGGUGGUGUAGACGGCUUUCUGGACCGUAACUGACGCUGAGACACGAAAGCGUGGGUAGCAAACAGGAUUAGAUACCCUGGUAGUCCACGCCCUAAACGAUGCAUAUUUGGUGUGGGUCAUUCAGUUGAUCCGUGCCGGAGCUAACGCGUUAAAUAUGCCGCCUGGGGAGUACAGUCGCAAGGCUGAA
rnacentral:rRNA from 1 species